rnacentral:rRNA from 1 species
AGAACGAACGCUGGCGGCAUGCCUAAUACAUGCAAGUCGAACGAAGGCUUCGGCCUUAGUGGCGCACGGGUGUGUAACGCGUGGGAAUCUGCCCCUUGGUUCGGAAUAACAGUUGGAAACGACUGCUAAUACCGGAUGAUGACGAAAGUCCAAAGAUUUAUCGCCAAGGGAUGAGCCCGCGUAGGAUUAGCUAGUUGGUGAGGUAAAGGCUCACCAAGGCGACGAUCCUUAGCUGGUCUGAGAGGAUGAUCAGCCACACGUGGGACUGAGACACGGCCCAGACUCC